rnacentral:rRNA from 1 species
UACAGAGGUCUCAAGCGUUGUUCGGAUUCAUUGGGCGUAAAGGGCGCGUAGGCGGCGGGGUAAGUCGGGUGUGAAAUCUCAGAGCUCAACUCUGAAACUGCACUCGAUACUGCUCUGCUUGAGGACUGGAGAGGAGACUGGAAUUCACGGUGUAGCAGUGAAAUGCGUAGAUAUCGUGAGGAAGACCAGUGGCGAAGGCGGGUCGUCUGGACAGUUCCUGACGCUGAGGCGCGAAGGCCAGGGGAGCAAACGGGG